rnacentral:rRNA from 1 species
GACGUAGGGCGCGAGCGUUGUCCGGAUUUAUUGGGCGUAAAGAGCUCGUAGGCGGCUUGUCGCGUCGACCGUGAAAACUCACAGCUCAACUGUGAGCUUGCGGUCGAUACGGGCAGGCUCGAGUUCGGUAGGGGAGACUGGAAUUCCUGGUGUAGCGGUGAAAUGCGCAGAUAUCAGGAGGAACACCAAUGGCGAAGGCAGAUCUCUGGGCCGUAACUGACGCUGGAGGAAGCGAAAGCAUGGGGAGCGAACAGG